GGGCUAGUAAAGGUUUCGACAGGGGUUUUGAAACUGGAGAAGCUAUCCGCGGGAUGGUGGCGAUAUACCUCAAAUUAAAUUUAAACGCUGAAGAUAAUUUAGCAAUCGCAGCCUAACGGCUGCCGUCAGCCUCGAUACACCUACAUAUUAAGUAACUGACGUCAAACUUGUAGGAAACGACACAGCUUAAGCUUUGCGGCUGCGGGCGUAACAUGAAGCUACCAAACGGACAUGGGCGUGAGCUUCCGUAUCCGGGCGGGAACAGGGGAGCAGAUCCUCACAAUAGCUUACUAUGAUAGUAGAAGGACAGCGGAUGGGCUUUUGGACACGGGUUCGACUCCCGUCUAGUCCACUU
rnacentral:tmRNA from 1 species